UACAGGGGGUGCAAACGUUGCUCGGAAUCAUUGGGCGUAAAGCGCACGUAGGCGGUCUGUUAUGUCGGAUGUGAAAGCCCUUGGCUCAACUGAGGAAGUGCAUCCGAAACUGGCAGGCUAGAGUACUAAAGAGGAUCGCGGAAUUCCCGGUGUAGAGGUGAAAUUCGUAGAUAUCGGGAGGAACACCGGUGGCGAAGGCGGCGAUCUGGGUAGAUACUGACGCUGAGGUGCGAAAGCGUGGGGGGCAAACAGG
rnacentral:rRNA from 1 species